CCACAAGGGGUGAAGCCUGCGGUUCAAUUGGAGUCAACGCCAGGAAACUUACCAGGAGAGACAGCAGGUUGAGGGUCAAGCUGAAGACUUUACCUGACGAGCUGAGAGGAGGCGCAUGGCCGUCGCCAGCUCGUGCCGUGAGGCGUCCUGUUAAGUCAGGCAACGAGCGAGACCCCUGUUGGUAAUUGCUAACAGUUCAGAGAUGGAUUGAGGCUAGUUACCAAGACUGCCGCUGCUAAAGCGGAGGAAGGAGGGGGCCACGGCAGGUCAGUAUGCCCCGAAACUCCUGGGCCACACGCGGGCUGCAAUGGUAAGGACAAUCGGUUCCGACCUCGAAAGAGGAAGGCAAUCCACAAACCUUACCCCAGUUGUGAUUGAGGGUUGAAACCCGCCCUCAUGAAUAUGGAAUCCCUAGUAACCGCGUGUCAUCACCGCGCGGUGAAUACGUCCCUGCUCCUCGU
rnacentral:rRNA from 1 species